rnacentral:rRNA from 1 species
AGCGAACGCUGGCGGCAGGCCUAACACAUGCAAGUCGAACGGAACUAUCGGGGAUAUUGGCGGAUUGGUGAGGAACACGGGGGAACGUGGCUUUAGGUGCGGAAUAGCUCGGGGAAACGGGUGCUAAUACGGAAAGGGCCCUUCAGGGGGCAGAUUAAUCGUCUUUAGAGCGGCCGGCGUCUGAUUAGCUAGUUGGUUGAGGUAAUGGCUCACCAAGGCGACGGUCAGUAGCUGGUCUGAGAGGAUGGUCAGCCACAUUGGGACUGUGACACGGCCCGAACUCCUACGGGAGGCGGCAGUGGGGGAUCUUGCGCAAUGGGCGGAAGCCUGACGCAGCCAUGCCGGGUGAAUGCUUAAGGUCUUGGGAUUGUAAGAUUCUUUCACAGGGGACCAUAAUGACGGUACCCGGAGAAGAAGCCCCGGCUAACUUCGUG